AUGUCUGCAGAGCAGGGGAGUUGCUACUACUGGUGUAUGCAGGGAGAAUGGAGAAGGAAGCAACCAGAAGAGCAGGACAAAGCUAGGUUUCCAGAGGAUAAUUCCUCUUCAGAGGCACAGGCAGCCAAGUGCACUUCCCUCUAUGCCAUCUGGCUCCUGUAGCCUGCUUCCAUCUGGCUGGGGUAGGAGAAAACCCCUGAGUGACUUGGAGCACCAAGCAGCUGUGGGCACGAGGAGCAAGACUGCAGAAGGUUCUCAGGAGAUGAGAUUAAAGAAAAGUUACCUGCUCAUGGUCUUCAGAGGUUAAGCUGUGAGACAACCAUUAUCCUUAGCCCAGAGCUAUCAUCUCCUAUGGGAUAUGGAAGCACAUCUGAUGGCCUGGAACUAUGACGUUUUCUUCUGUGAACCUUGUAAAACCAACCUACAACCUAAUAGGAAAGGGGUUGGAAGCCAUCAUUCCUUAUCUCCAGGUAGAUCCUUCAACUCCUCAUGGCUUUGAUUUGUCCAUAGGGGCAAGGGUUAUGCCUGGGUGGCACACAAAGAACCUGUUGUUGUUGUUGUUGUUGUUGGAGAUAUUGACCACAAAGAAUGACUUCUAGCAAGCUGGUAAAUUGUCAUCAAUAUUGCCAUGACACAAAGUACAUUCCGCUUAAAAAAUUAUUAUGUGCUCUCUAAUCUUUAUAAACAAAGUGAUUUGCCAUGCAAGAUUAUCUUAAGAGCAUUUUUAAAUUAGUACUUAUUCCUUAAAUGCAUUAUGUUUGUGGAAAGGCAUGACUAUGUGGUUUCACAGAUAAUAUCAUUCAUCCUAAGAAUGCAAAGAACUUUUAAAAGACCCAAACAAGUAAAUGGAAUGUAAAUAAAAGAGAAAAGCAAAAUAUUUGGACUUCUGAAAUUCCUCCAGGGUUGUUUUAUGUGUUUAAGAAUAGACUGUAUUUUUCCUGUAAAAUUUGCCUUGCAAAGAAAAAAAAGGAGAAUUUUCAAGGAUCUGAAGCUGCAUAAGACUUUGAGCAAAGAAAAUCAUAGUCUUAGAGACACUGCCUAUGGUUUUACAGUAACACACAGCCUAAAAAGACCCUUUCUUGGAACUUUCCCGCAAGAGAAGUCUUUCAUUACCAUAAUACGUCCAUGCCACCUAUCGAAGAAAAGGUCAAAUGUAAAUUCAGACCAUGGCAAAAGGUUAUUCAGGUAAAUCUCUACCUGAGUCCACUCAAAGUUCAAAUUUAUGACUCUGUUGAACAAAAGAUGAUGCAGGAUGUUUACAUAGCCAAUGACAUUUGUUUGCAGCACAUUCUAAAAAAAAAGUUACCCAAGUCGUCUUUUGUAGCAAGAUGUCAGAUGCAGAGGGAGGAGAAACUUGAGGUACCUCUGCACGGGUCCUUUGACCCAGAAGAGAUCUUUUGGGAGGAACAGUAAUGGAGAUGAGUCCUUCUGAAUUUCAUAUCUAUGUCUGUGUAAGCCCCAGUGAUGGAAGUAAGAAUGAUGGCUCCUCCCUAGAGAACCUGAGAGCAGCAUAUGAUGAUCAACAUUAUGUUCCUCAAAGAACUGUAGAAAAUUGGUAUUGUAAUCUAAUGAAAUGUAGAGGAUAUCUCCUGGAGGGGUAGAUUAUCAUAGAGAAUGUGUUCUUUUACUAUAAAUCUGUGAUUUUAUUUUACUGUUUUACUAAUGAUAUACAGUGAGCCAUAAGUGGGAAAGCCCCAAGAAACACAAUGACAGUUGUUUAUUAUAACAAUAUUUAUUAUAUUGCAUUAAUACAGGAAUGUUUUCACUGAGGACAGUAGAAAUUCUAUUGUAGGGCAGGAUUAAAGGAACCAUAUCAAUGCCAUGUGCUAUGGUAAAAGAGACGCCAUUAAUUUCUUCUUGCUUUUUCAAAAGCAGCCUCAAUUCAAACAGUUGGUUGAUCUCCUCAGUAGACAAAAAGACCUUGGAAUGUCCCCUCAGCAGUUUGUUCUAAAGGACCAGAAUACAACAUAAUAAAGCAUAAGUGGAAGUGAGACGUACUUUUUGAAAGACUGCUGGUAAGAAACCUUUCAGUGAUGCUAGUGGUGAGGGUUUGAUGCUGAAGGACAAAGAUUUCUUUCGGAGCUGCCUGGUGGCAUUGACCCACAACACCAUGUGGUGCUUCCCUUUGUCUUCCACUGUUAGUGAAUGAAUUGCUCCCAGGGAGGCUUGUUCAGUGCCAUACUCUGCAGAAAUGAGGAUGCUUUUGAAUGAUGGCUCACUCCAUUGUCCUUCAUAUUGUUUCACUAAGCUCAGCUCAGACUGAAAUUCCCAAGGCUAAUCCUUCUUGCUAGCAACUGGGGGUGAGAAAUGAAAUCUGUGAUGGAAAAGCUGCAAGGGAUGGGGCCAGCUUGGCCAGGCCAUCAACACUGCAGGUCAGCUCUUCCUUCCAGCACCUCCAGCCUGGCUCCAGUAGCUGUACCAUAGUGGAGGUCCUGCUGUUACAGCUUUCCUGUGGCUGAGGCACUGCCGUUUUCAGCCCUUCCAGCCCUCUCCAUCUGUCCACCUGCUCUUCCCCUUCCCUACAGACAGCACAGAGUCUGGAAUAAGAAUUGGUGAAGUGGAAGGGUAUUCAUCUUGCAGGAAAGGGAUGCUGUGUGGGCUGGUGUAAGCCUAUUCAUUGCCUUUGGAGGAAUGGCAGGACUGCAGAAAAAGGGGUGGCAUCAGAAGGCAGUGGAAGGAAGGAAUAGCACUGGCACGUUGAAGGAAGUAGUGGUGCUGGAAUGGAGUUAGUUAGCAAGUGCUGUUAAUAAUGACAGCCACCUGUUUCAUUAGCCAUGGUUUCAAACAGAAAGGAUGUGGUAUGCAAAUUACCAUGCAAAGCAGGUUGGCAAAGUCCAGAUAGGGACAGGGAUUUGCCAAAGGCUCUGAUAGCAGCUGAAGCAACAGAUGUGUUGCACCAAAGAGUGCCAGGGAGGGAACAGACAAGCAGCCAUGGCUGCACUUUCCCCCAGGCAAAGCAGAACAGUGAAAUUGCCAUUUGGCAAUAUUUCGGUCAGGUCUUUAUA